AGAGUUUGAUCCUGGCUCAGAUUGAACGCUGGCGGCAUGCCUAACACAUGCAAGUCGCACGCGAAAGGGGGCAACCCCGAGUAGAGUGGCGGACGGGUGCGUAACGCGUAGGAAUAUACCUGGUAGUGGGGGACAACCCGGCGAAAGCCGGGCUAAUACCGCAUACGAUCUACGGAUGAAAGCAGGGGACCGCAAGGCCUUGCGCUAUCAGAUUAGCCUGCGUCGGAUUAGCUAGUUGGUGAGGUAAAGGCUCACCAAGGCAACGAUCCGUAGCUGGUUUGAGAGAACGACCAGCCACACUGGGACUGAGACACGGCCCAGACUCCUACGGGAGGCAGCAGUGGGGAAUAUUGGACAAUGGGGGCAACCCUGAUCCAGCAAUGCCGCGUGUGUGAAGAAGGCCUUCGGGUUGUAAAGCACUUUCGAUGGGGAAAAACAAGCUAGACCUAACACGUCUGGCCCUGAUGGUACCCAGAGAAGAAGCACCGGCUAACUCUGUGCCAGCAGCCGCGGUAAUACAGAGGGUGCAAGCGUUAAUCGGAAUUACUGGGCGUAAAGGGUGCGUAGGUGGUUUGCUAAGUCAGGCGUGAAAUCCCUGGGCUCAACCUGGGAACUGCGUUUGAUACUGGCAGACUCGAGUCUGGUAGAGGGUAGUGGAAUUCCGCAUGUAGCGGUGAAAUGCGUAGAUAUGCGGAGGAACAUCAGUGGCGAAGGCGGCUACCUGGACCAAGACUGACACUGAGGCACGAAAGCGUGGGGAUCAAACAGGAUUAGAUACCCUGGUAGUC
rnacentral:rRNA from 1 species